rnacentral:tRNA from 1 species
UAUCAAAGCCCUGAGGUGUUCCAUGUCAAAAUGCAAAUUUGAAGAA